rnacentral:rRNA from 1 species
UACGUAGGUGGCAAGCGUUGUCCGGAUUUACUGGGCGUAAAGAGCGCGCAGGCGGUCGUUCAAGUCGCGUGUGAAAGCCCCCGGCUCAACUGGGGAGGGUCACGCGAUACUGAUCGACUCGAAGGCAGGAGAGGGUAGUGGAAUUCCUGGUGUAGCGGUGAAAUGCGCAGAUAUCAGGAAGAACACCCGUGGCGAAGGCGGCUCUCUGGGACGGUACUGACGCUGAGACGCGAAAGCGUGGGGAGCGAACAGG